GUAUGUUAUACACCUAUUACACAUCAAUAUAAAUAAUAGCAAAGAUGCACUUUGUUCAGCGUGAGCAAAUUUUGCUAUUUGGCAUGGCAUUUCCAUUUAUAUCUCUUAUGGAGUAAUUUUAAGUAUUCUUGCUUCCAUUCGAUCGCAAGCUUUUGGUUAAUCAGCUGGGUCUUCAGAGAGUGUGGAUAUGGACCUAGAAUUCAAUAUCCUUUCAAUUCGAGCUAAUACCGUUGUAAACUCUUCAAAUGUGUACCGAUGGGCUCCUGCAAAUCACUUUAGAUGGAAUUUAAAGCUUUUGACCGCCACUCAAACCCAUGAGUUAUGUAUUUUUGAGCAAUGUCUUGCGAAACGGAGUUUAUAAAAGUCGUAAAUUCCUUGCGUAAAGCUUGAUUCGAACCGAAUAAAUUUCUACUAUUGUCCGAGACUAGUUUGUGUGGUAGACCACGGCGACCAACAAAUCGGGCGAAUGUUGCUUGAAUCGCGGCAAAACAUACAAAUACGCAUGCAUAUGCUUUGAUGAUUGAGGAUCUUCGUAAAUUGAAACUUUUAAGCAAAAACGCACCGGCUAAAUCCAUCCGGUUAUGUUGAAUGGGAAGGACAGGGUACAGAGGUCGGUAGUGAUAAAUAUAGAUUACAUUCGGAGUAGAAUGUUUGGGAAGCGCUCAUUGCAUGGUAAUAAAGAAUUGGCUGGGCAACCAUUGACUCUUAAAAGAC